CCUGAUGGCUCAGAUGGUAAAGUAUCUGCCUACAGUGCGGGAGACCCAGGUUCAAUCCCUGGGUCAGGA
rnacentral:tRNA from 1 species